rfam:Virgibacillus massiliensis genome assembly, contig: 000003
UCCUAUAAAUAAAAAAUAAUGCGUAUAAUUUCGGGGAUAUGGCCCAGAGUUUCUACCAGACUACCGUAAAUGGUCUGACUACGCAAAAAAUAGAUAGGUCA